GCCACCGACCAAACACGUUUUAGUCCUUAGUCCUCACGUUUGUUGGGCUGAUGUGCUCAAUAUUGGGCUAAUGCUAAACAAUAGAAGCCUUUUCCAUCAAACGAUUCUUCGCACGUUUUCCUUCUUUUUCCUCUUUGCUUCCACGUAGCUAUCAUCUUCAAAUGCUUGCUUCUUUCACUUUCAUCUCAGAUGAGAACAAUUCCAGGUUUUUAGUGCGAGAUUGAGAAGAUUGGAACACAAAGGAAAUCAACAAUUCAUCUGAAAUCGUUCACCAGGACCUUUCAGCAGAUAUUGGCUCUAUCAAAAUUUCGUGGGAUGUUAUAAAUGUUACCAAACUCUAAAAAAUUUGGUUGGAUGCUUUCACUUGCUCAACCCAUUGGCUUUAUGAAAUUUUUGUGGGAUGUUAAAAAUGUUUGUAAACAGUCAAAAAAUUGGUGCGAUGUGUUUUACCCAAAGUUUGAAUACUUGAAUAGUUAUGUUCCAUGUGAGUUCUAUGAAUUUGUGUUAGUAAAAUUUUAAAGCAAAUUUCAACAGUUGAAUA